UGAGUUGAGGGUUUCCAAAGAUCUAAAAUCAGCAGCUGCUAACUCGACAUGUGACUCAGAGUAAACCACUUUCCUGGUAGGUCUCACUUUGCCCAAAAAUGUAAUAAGAGGAUCUCUUGGGACUCUUGGCUUGAAUACUGUUGGGUUGUGAGUAAGCUGGACUCAUUUCAGGACUCUGAGCAGAGUUCUCAGGUCUGUAAGCCAAGCCACUUCUGUUUCUCUUUGGGUUGCUAUAAAGUACAGACGAUUCUACCAACCUUGACACAAAUGCCCAGCUGCCCCCAGUUCAGUGCCACAGAGAAAAGCCUUGCAGAACAGGUUGAGUUUGUAGAUGGGCAUGCGGUAGACGGUAUCAUCUCUUCUCUAUCAAUGACUUGGGUGAUACUUCUGGCAACAAAACAGACAGUUCUCGGCCUCUGUGUUUUCAUUUGUCCAACUGAAGAUUAGACAAGAGGCAGCAUGGGGUGGUGGAUAAAUCGUGGACCAGGAUUGAAGCGAAGAUCUGCUCAUCUGGGACACUCACCAGGUAAGUGAGAUUGAGAAGGGGACUCCUCUUGGAUCUUAGUUUCUUCACUGACUAGCAGGCAUUGCAAGACCAGUUUUCCAAGGCUGCUGAGAGUCAACUGUGCAAACAUGCUGUGAACUAGGUAAGUGGCAUCAUCCUUAUUUAUAGACUAGGCAACCAAGGCUUAGCAGGUUAAGUAAUAGUCCCAAUGUCACUCAGAAAGUGAUGGUGUUGGGAUACGCACUCAGUCUUUCUAGCCUUGAAGCACAUGUGUUUUCUAGUAUACCUCACUGGUCCCCAAAACUCAAUCCAAUAUUGAGCUGAGUAAAUUUUCUCGUCUGUCAGCUGUAUGGAGUAAUUCCCCCUGAGCUUACUUACAGUCAACCUUCAGUGUGAA
rnacentral:lncRNA from 1 species